rnacentral:rRNA from 1 species
UCGUAACAAGGUCUCCGUUGGUGAACCAGCGGAGGGAUCAUUACUGAGUUUACGCUCUAUAACCCUUUGUGAACAUACCUAUAACUGUUGCUUCGGCGGGUAGGGUCUCCGCGACCCUCCCGGCCUCCCGCCUCCGGGCGGGUCGGCGCCCGCCGGAGGAUAACCAAACUCUGAUUUAACGACGUUUCUUCUGAGUGGUACAAGCAAAUAAUCAAAACUUUUAACAACGGAUCUCUUGGUUCUGGCAUCGAUGAAGAACGCAGCGAAAUGCGAUAAGUAAUGUGAAUUGCAGAAUUCAGUGAAUCAUCGAAUCUUUGAACGCACAUUGCGCCCGCCAGCAUUCUGGCGGGCAUGCCUGUUCGAGCGUCAUUUCAACCCUCAAGCUCUGCUUGGUGUUGGGGCCCUACAGCUGAUGUAGGCCCUCAAAGGUAGUGGCGGACCCUCCCGGAGCCUCCUUUGCGUAGUAACUUUACGUCUCGCACUGGGAUCCGGAGGGACUCUUGCCGUAA